GAACUCUGCAGCCAUUCUUUGAAGGAUUAUUACCCCGAGAUAAUCCAAGAAACACUCGGUUUGCCAUCAACUUCUUUACUUCUAUAGGUCUUGGAGGUUUAACGGAUGAACUGCGGGAGCAUCUCAAAAAUACACCAAAGGUCAUUGUGGCGCAGAAACCAGAUGUUGAGCAAAAUAAAUCCUCCCCAUCCUCUUCCUCUUCAGCGUCCUCCUCUUCAGAGUCUGACUCAUCCGACUCUGAUUCUGACAGCAGUGAUAGCAGUUCAGAGUCUUCCAGUGAAGAGAGCGACUCUUCAUCCAUCAGUAGUCAUAGCUCUGCCUCAGCUAAUGAUGUAAGAAAGAAGGGACAUGGGAAGACCAGAAGUAAAGAGGUAGAUAAAUUGAUCAGAAACCAGCAAACAAAUGAUAGGAAACAAAAAGAAAGAAGACAAGAACACGGGCACCAGGAAACAAGGACUGAGAGAGAAAGAAGGUCAGAAAAACACAGAGAUCAAAAUUCAAGAGAUUCAAAUUGGAGAGAUCCUAUAACAAAGUACACAUCAGACAAAGAUGUUCCUUCUGAACGAAAUAACUACAGUAGAGUUGCAAAUGACAGAGACCAAGAAAUGCAUAUAGAUUUGGAAAAUAAGCAUGGUGAUCCCAAAAAGAAGAGAGGAGAGAGAAGAAAUUCUUUUUCUGAAAAUGAGAGGCAUACACACCGAAAUAAAGACAGUGAAAAUUUCAGAAGAAAAGAUAGAUCAAAGUCAAGGGAAAUGAAUAGAAAGCACUCAGGCUCAAGAAGUGAUGAAGAUAGAUAUCAAAAUGGUGCCGAGAGACGAUGGGAAAAAUCUAGCAGAUACUCUGAACAAUCCAGAGAAUCAAAGAAAAAUCAGGACCGGCGGAGAGAAAAGUCUCCAGCAAAACAAAAAUAAUUCUACAAAAUGACAUAAACUGGACAUGCCUUAUAUUCAGUUGAAACAAAUUAUUUUUUACUUUGACGAACUUUAUAGAGAAUUCUUGUAUAACGUAUUGGUUUGUAUUUGUAAAUUUAAAAAAUGUUUUCAUUUUAACAUGUUUUAUAAUUGAUACAUCUCAAGGCCCUACCCAUAAAAUUAUUUGAAAACUUUCACCAGAAAGGGAUGUAAG
rnacentral:lncRNA from 1 species